UCUAAUGGUGAACACAGCAUUCACGGCGCCGUUUGUCGGAUUGUGCAUUCUGGCUGUGUUGUUUCCUUUUGUUCACUGCAAGGGUGCUGGUGGGGCGACACUCUUGAUGCUCGGUUACCAAUUGUGGCACAUGGCUGAAACUCUCAAAAGUGGAACAAGAGCUGCAAGGCUUCCGGUAUCUCUUGAUUACUGCCCUGGAAACCACAGUAGCACAUUUUCACCACUUAACACUACCUUUACAGUACCAAACCUUGAAUCAGAAGAAACGUUCUUCAUCUUGCGCUUGUCAUACUUCUGGAGUAGUUUUUUCGCUCUCAUCGGAACUAUCCUGAUUGCAGUAUUUAUAAGUGCGGUUACAGG